UACGAAGGGGGCUAGCGUUGCUCGGAAUCACUGGGCGUAAAGGGUGCGUAGGCGGGUUUUAAGUCAGGGGUGAAAUCCUGGAGCUCAACUCCAGAACUGCCUUUGAUACUGAAGAUCUUGAGUCCGGGAGAGGUGAGUGGAACUGCGAGUGUAGAGGUGAAAUUCGUAGAUAUUCGCAAGAACACCAGUGGCGAAGGCGGCUCACUGGCCCGAUACUGACGCUGAGGCACGAAAGCGUGGGGAGCAAACAGG
rnacentral:rRNA from 1 species